UCUCGAUAGCGUAAAAAUUAACUCAAUUUUGUAUGGAGUUGGAACGUUUGGCUACGUUUGCCGCUAGAGGCGCUGUUCCAACUCCAUACAAAUUUGAGUUAACAUUUACGCUAUCGA
rnacentral:pre_miRNA from 9 species